CGGCGGAGCGGGCUGCGCUCCCCGCGGCUGCGGCGGGGCUUCACCCCGCUUCGUGCGGCCCCAGCGCCCGCCCCAGGGGCCGCGCCCGGCACCUCCUCGGCGGGGCUGCUGUCCCCGGGACGCCGUGACGGCUGUGCGCUCCCCGCCCUUCUCACCGCCCCUCUCCCCUUUCCUCCUCCUCCUCUUCCUCCUCCUCCUUCGGGAGCCUUGCCUCCCCUGCACACCUGCCUUGCCAUUUGUCGGCGGCUUUGCUAGGAGGGAAGAAUUUUCCCUCGGUCCCUUACAGCAUCCCUCCCCGGCACACACACACACACACACACACACACACAUACACGCACGCUCACACAGCCGGACGGGCAGAGGCACCGCGCUGCCCGUGCCUCGCUGGCCGCCGCCUCUCCGCACCUCGGCCCCGCGCUCCUCGCCGCCGCGGGGCGUCCUCCGCCUGCUGCAGCGCCGCCGGGCCCGGCAGCCGCCGAAGGGGGGUGGCGGCGGCGGCUCCCGCUGCUCCGCGGCCCCGCACCGGCAGCGGAUUGGCCAUGAGAAUUUGUAA
rnacentral:lncRNA from 13 species